AUUUGGGGAAUAUAUGGUAAAUAAGGCGCCACAAUUUAGAUGAUUGAUAAGUCAAGAGAAACUGCCACAAUGGAAAGAAGUCAUUUAUAAGAUUCAAACAAAUACUACAAAAAUUCAAAUAGGAGAAAAUCUCACUCACAAUUGUCAAAGAAAAAUAUUUUUUAUUUAUCCAUAUAUGUCCUUUCUACAUAUCUAAGACACACAUAUAUAGGAGGAGCCAUGGGCUCAUUGGUAGUAGAAAAGAAAAGUUACGAUAAUUUAACAUUAAUUAAUCCUAAUGUCAACAUUAAUUUGAAAAUAGUUACAAAACAAUCAAUAAUAGAAAGUCGAGAUAAAUAUUUUUAGCAACCCUUUUUUGUUUGGGCCUAUUAAUUUUAUUUAGCUAUUAUUCUAAUGGACCCCAUAAAACAAUAACAACAAAAUUGUAGUCAACUUUCAGCCCAUUUUUUACCAUGAUAGUAGCUGAAUUUGGUGAAGAUGCAUAGUUGGAGGAAAUGUUAUCUUUUCAAUGCAUCAAAGAACACCUCAAUUCAACUUCGGAAACUCAAGAUAUUGCUAAAACAAUUCAGUCCCAUAAUUUCAAUUGAAGCUCAAUUUUGUUCUUCUUUUGUGGACGUGCUUUUUUGUAGAUCUCCUUUCACAUGCUUAAUGAACUCAUGAUCUCAUCAGCAAGAGAUUCAGGCAAGCUUUAACAAGGAUAGCGAUUGUGGAUGAGUUGGCUUUCAAUUUUGUUGAGGGAGAGGGAUUUCGUUUAUUCAUGAGUUUUGUGCAACCUAGAUUCUCGAUUUCUUGAAGGAUUGCAAUUGCUAGAGACAGUCGGGAUAUUUUCACGAAUGAGAGGCAUAAGUUAAAAAGUAUAUUUAAUAGGGGAUUGCAAUGUGUUAGUCUAACAACCGAUUGUUGGACUUCUAUCCAAAAUUUAUCUUUGUCAAAUGCACAUUUCUUUAAUCAAGAUUGGAUGUUGUAUCUUUAAUCAAGAUUGGAUGUUGUAUAAAAUGAUUCUCAAUUUUGUCCAAUUACGAGUAAAAGAGAAUAAAUAAUUGAUAGAAAAUUGAUAAA